UAUAACAUUGAUGUAAUGUUACUAUUUAUUAUUUUGAUUAGUGUUUAUUGGGUUCUUUCUUCCUUUUUGAUUGAUUCAGUGGCUAGAUGUUUUUAUGUCCUGUUUAUUGACAAUGUAUAUUGUAUAUGUCAGCGUUGACAUAAAAACUUAGUUACGACAUCUAUUAGAAACGCAUCAAAACUUUUGCAUUCAUCCAAUAUUACGCCCUAAGCGUUAGGGUCUAUUCAGAUAAACUGCGUAAGCAUGUGCAUAAGAAAAUGGAUCUAAAUCCAUUUGCAGGCAAGUUCGCUGAAUAUAUCAUUAGUGUCGCAAACAUGAGAAUUCCUAUGUAAUGUGAUUGGCGGAAUUCGUAAUCGUCAUCUACUUUAUUUCCCGCGCUGCGGCGCAUUGUUACUACGUAGUCGAUUUGUGAUGCUCCGUCUUUUCGCAUAUUUAUGCAUCCUGAGCGCCUUUCGUGUACGCAUACAUAUGUGUCGAGACAGUCGAAUCUAACGACGGAUGAUAAUCUUGGUGAGUAAAUUGAUCCGCGCGAUCAUGAUUAAAGCAUCUCCCGGUAUUUGUAAUCGUCGUCCGCCACUUCGCGCUUCGUCGAACUGACGAUCGAACAAUCCGCUUUCUUGGUAUACGUCUCUCGAGUAUUUCGAUGAACAUCGUGAGAUUAUUUACUAUUCGGAGCAACACCACUCGGAGAAACAUCGAAAAGCAUCGAGAGGACCGUCGAGGGAUUGCCGUGAUAAAUUAAUCAAAAGUUAUUUCGCUCGCUUAUUUCUCGAGUAGCCGCGAGAAGUUAGCUGUGGUUAUAUGUUCAAAUUUAUCAUUGCUUUCAGUUGAUGCCGCACGACUUCAGUGAACAGUCGAACUACGAUCGGUCUGCGUCAGUUUUCUCGCUCUUGAUGAAUUUCACGUGGGAAUGAGUGUUACUACUAGCGACCCUCGGCGAGCAUCGCAACUGUUUUUCAACAUUUAGAACAAUAUCGAAAAAUAUGGGAAAGCGAGAGGAGCAUCGAGGGAUCACUGAUGGAUUAAUCACAGGUAUUAUUUCGCUCGCCUAUGAUACGCGCGCAACGGUUAGUGUUUGCGUGUGGCCCGACCGCCUGUGGCGUGUUACUUUUCGGAAUUUUUACGUCGGUCGAGAAUGCAUCGUGUAUGACAAACCGCGAAUACUAUAUAUCUAUCGUAUCAAUAAAUUGAUACACUUGAUUGCAAACGCACGAACGCGUAUGUACGUGCCCAUGAUAACUGAUAUCAAUCGCAUCUCAACAAAAAAUUCUUUUACAAAUAUUGGCGUUUUUUUUUUAUUUUUAAAUGCGAUCAAAUUCCGGAAAUAUUGAAACAUUUACAAUUUUAAUGUGUUAAUAUAUAAAAAUAGUUGAGUGCACCGCUAAUGCAUUGAAAUGUUUUUAGUAACAUCGAAAAAUCAUCGUAACAGAUAAAUCACAAAACAUGUGAUUGUUUUGUAAUAUCCGAAUAUUUUAUAUUGCUGAAUCAUUUUUCCGUGUUGAUGCGCGAAGUUAGGCGAGGUUACUAGGCAUUGUCGAAUUUAUAAUCGUUUCUUAUGGUUAGUUUAUUUUAGUACGUAACCGAAUUGCGAUGGCUUCGUGUUUUCGGUGCUUUGUUACUCAUUUCAGGCGAAUUCCACGUGUGAAGGUUAGUAGUAUCGAAUUUAACAACAAGCGAGUGUCACAGUAUAUAAAUUGAUGCGCGCUAUCGUGAUCAAAGCGUUUUCUUCGAUAUUCAAAUUCGGCGUUUGUUCAUUUUGCGUUUCAUCGAACUGACGUUCGAAAAGUUCUAUUUUCAUCAUACGCGUUGCAUGUUGCGUGUUUCGCCGCAUUUGUUUUUUUUUUUUUUCUUUUUACGAAUAUUGCGAUUUAGUUAUCUAGCAUUGCAAAGCAUCGAGGGAAGCAUGAAAAAGCAUGGAAGGACCACCGCAAUGGAUUAAUCCAGAUGACAAGUUAUGUCAUUCGCCUACAAUAUUCACGGAACAAACAGUGCUUGUAAUUGUCUACGGCGUGCCGCUUUUUGGAAUUUUCUCAUCGGUCGAGAAUGUGUCGCGCGUGAGAAAUCGGGAGUGCCGAUUAUGUCUACGGGCGAUCGCAUCAAUUCGCUCGAUUGUAAUCGGACGCGUUUGUCGAUACCCAUGACGUCAGUUGUGUUCCGUCGGAAGAAUGUAUUAAUACGAAUACGCAAGUUUUGUUUUAUUUGCGAUCGAGCGUCGGGAGUGCCGAGUAAGUUUGCGGGCGAUCGUUAAUGUUUUAAUUAAUACGCGAGUGUGAGUGCUAGUGUAUUAUUGGUGUAUAUUGAAGUGCUUCGAGGAAUUAUCGACGGAAAGAGAUGAAUCGAGACUGCUGUUCGCUGCUGAUUGCUGUUCGCCUACAUCCACGUAACGAUGCAGCUACAAGCGUAGACAACUAAAGAUGUAAUGCAACGACCG